AGUUUUCCCCUCGUCCCCCUCUCUGAUGCGCACAAGGUGGUAGCCAUUCCGGAGGUCCAGUCUGGUGAACACAGUGGCACUGAUGAGUGUGCAAGGAUACUUGUUCUUGAUGUUAUUCAGUCUAGGCCUCAGUCUAGGCCUCAGUGACCCAUCCUUCUUCACAAAGAAAAACUCAGCACCCACCCCUGGGAGGAAGAAGGCCUGAUAAGUCCUGCAACCAGGGAGUCCUGGAUGUACCUCUCCAUAGCCUCCAGCUCGGGGCGAGAGAGGUUAUACAACUGGCUACAGGGGAGAGGAGCUCCAGGCUGGAGGACAAUGGUGCAGUUGUACGGCUGAUGAGGUGGCAGCGACAGGACGCGGUGCUUGCUGAACAUAGGCGCUAGAUCGUGAUACUCUGGAGGAACUGAUGACAGGUCAGGAGGUUCUGGAAUGGGGCACAGACAAGGCAUCGGCAAGGGCAAAAUGUAGACAAUUCUAGUGACAAAAUUAAUUCCAAGUGGUUACCCUUCCAGCGGUCCAGUCGAUCUGAGGGUUGUGCAACUUUAACCAUGGAUGGCCAAGAACCAGGGGAGAGUGAGGACAGUCGAUUAUGUGGAAAGUGAUCCUUUCCUGGUGGUUUCCAGAGAGAUGCAGGAUGACAGGGGCGGUCCUCUCCCAGACACUGGCGAGGAGCUGUCCGUUGAGAGCGUUGGCAUCGAGGGGUGAAUCGAGUGAAACAGAGUCCAGGCCCAACUGGGUAACGACACCACGGUCCAGGAAACUCUCGUCGGCGCCUGAGUCGAUGAGAGCAGGCAGGGGAAGAACCUGGCUCUGCCACACGAGGGCGCCGUCAAGCAGGGGUCUGGGGGAGAGAUGGGCAGGCGAUUUGGCUCAACGGUAGGUCCCCCACUACUGCCGAGCCACCACUUUUGGUGAAAACAACUGAAUCCAUUUUAGAAUAAGGCUGUAACGUAACAAAAUGUAUAGAAAGUCAAGAGGUCUGAAAACUUUCCAAAUGCUCUGUAGCCAUGUUAUUUAGACUUGUUAUUCUUCUUCGUUUAUUCACUGUGUAUUUAUUUAUUGUGUCACUAUUUUCAAUGUUGUAUAUUUAACUCUGCAUUGUUGGAAAAGUCUGUUGUUUACGAAGCAAAUGACAAAUUACGUUUGGUUUUGAUUGAAAUAGGUGCCGGCAAUCAUUUUGGGUGCCUGAACUCUGCACUAUGUUUAAGCCAAUAUUCUGGAAGUAGUUCUGGAAGUCAAGCAGUAGAAUAUGUGAGGUUCUGGAACUCAGUUCUGGUGUUCUGUCCCUUGUCAAUCUUGUGUAUUUCCCUCAGUGAUUCAAACAGAAAAUGGACACAAAAUUAGACACAAAUACAGCAAGUUUUUCUGGUAAUACUUUGUGCUUCAGUGUCUUGUCAGUGGUGGAAGAGAUACUCUGGAGCUGCUGCAGGAUGUCUGGGGCUGCUGUGUGUUCUCCUACUGGCUGGGAUCAUAGGCCUGUUUCUCUACCAGAAAAACCAAUUGACCAGUUCCAACACCCUGACUGAAGAGAGAGACCAGUUACAGACCUGCGGAAACAACCUUACUGAAGAGAGAGACCAGCUACAGACUAGCAACAACACCCCGAACGAAGAGAGAGACCAGCUACAGACUAGCGACAACACGCUGACCAAAGAGAGAAACCAGUUACAGACCAGAUACAACACCCUGACCAAAGAGAGAGACCAGCUACAGACCAGAUACAACACCCUGACCAAAGAGAGAGACCAGCUACAGACUAGAUACAACACCCUGACCAAAGAGAGAGACCAGCUACAGAAAGAGACAGAACGUCUGAAACAAUCUUUAGUUGAGAAAGUGUGUCCGGACGGAUGGAAGAAGAUUGGUAGCAGUUGUUAUUACGUCUCUACUGAGUACAAAUCCUGGGAGGAGAGCAGACAGGACUGCAGAAAUAGAGGAGCAGACCUGGUGGUCAUCAACAGCCAAGAGAAACAGACAUUUGUCAAUUGGUUAUGUGGAGUAAAGAACUAUGUCUGGAUUGGUCUGACUGACUCUGUUUCUGAGGGGACCUGGAAAUGGGUGGACUACACACCACUGACCACAAAGUAUUGGAACAGUAAAGAGCCUAAUGGUGGAAGAGCAGAGAACUGUGUGUACUUCUACUCCUGGUCAUCAGACACAGGAGCUUGGUGGGACUAUGACUGUUCCUAUCAAUACAGAUGGAUCUGUGAGAAAUAGGAUUCAUCCUCGGUACUCUCUGAACUGCUAAAUAAGAUUAUGCUAAGUACUAUAUAUCGUAAUAUAUUUUCUACUUAUUCAAUUUACCUUGUCAACUACAUACAAUAUAUAACAAGACACAUGUAGAAUACAUUAUAA